rnacentral:rRNA from 1 species
UCUUCGGAACCAGAGACCGGCGCACGAGGUGCGUAACGCGUAUGCAAUCUACCUUUUACAGAGGGAUAGCCCAGAGAAAUUUGGAUUAAUACCUCAUAGCAUUGCAGAAUGGCAUCAUUCAGCAAUUAAAGUCACAACGGUAAAAGAUGAGCAUGCGUCCCAUUAGCUAGUUGGUAAGGUAACGGCUUACCAAGGCUACGAUGGGUAGGGGUCCUGAGAGGGAGAUCCCCCACACUGGUACUGAGACACGGACCAGACUCCUACGGGAGGCAGCAGUGAGGAAUAUUGGACAAUGGGCGCAAGCCUGAUCCAGCCAUGCCGCGUGCAGGAUGACGGUCCUAUGGAUUGUAAACUGCUUUUAUACGAGAAGAAACACUGAUUCGUGAAUCAGCUUGACGGUAUCGUAAGAAUAAGGAUCGGCUAACUCCGUGCCAGCAGCCGCGGUAAUACGGAGGAUCCAAGCGUUAUCCGGAAUCAUUGGGUUUAAAGGGUCCGUAGGCGGUUUGGUAAGUCAGUGGUGAAAGCCCAUCGCUCAACGGUGGAACGGCCAUUGAUACUGCCAGACUUGAAUUAUUAGGAAGUAACUAGAAUAUGUAGUGUAGCGGUGAAAUGCUUAGAGAUUACAUGGAAUACCAAUUGCGAAGGCAGGUUACUACUAAUGGAUUGACGCUGAUGGACGAAAGCGUGGGUAGCGAACAGGAUUAGAUACCCUGGUAGUCCACGCCGUAAACGAUGGAUACUAGCUGUUGGAAGCAAUUUCAGUGGCUAAGCGAAAGUGAUAAGUAUCCCACCUGGGGGAG